GACGAACGCUGGCGGCGUGCUUAACACAUGCAAGUCGAACGGAAAGGCCUCUUUCGGGGGGUACUCGAGUGGCGAACGGGUGAGUAACACGUGAGUAACCUGCCCUUGACUUUGGGAUAACUUCAGGAAACUGGGGCUAAUACCGGAUAGGAGCUCCUGCUGCAUGGUGGGGGUUGGAAAGUUUCGGCGGUUGGGGAUGGACUCGCGGCUUAUCAGCUUGUUGGUGGGGUAGUGGCUUACCAAGGCUUUGACGGGUAGCCGGCCUGAGAGGGUGACCGGCGACAUUGGGACUGAGAGACGGCCCAGACUCCUACGGGAGGCAGCAGUGGGGAAUAUUGCACAAUGGGUGGAAGCCUGAUGCAGCAACGCCGUGUGCGGGAUGACGGCCUUCGGGUUGUAAACCGCUUUCGCUCAUGACGAAGCUUUGUGUGACGGUAGUGGGUAAAGAAGCACCGGCUAACUACGUG
rnacentral:rRNA from 1 species